UACGGAGGGAGCUAGCGUUGUUCGGAAUUACUGGGCGUAAAGCGCGCGUAGGCGGCUUUGUAAGUUAGAGGUGAAAGCCCGGGGCUCAACCCCGGAACUGCCUUUAAGACUGCAUCGCUUGAAUCCGGGAGAGGUGAGUGGAAUUCCGAGUGUAGAGGUGAAAUUCGUAGAUAUUCGGAAGAACACCAGUGGCGAAGGCGGCUCACUGGACCGGCAUUGACGCUGAUGAGCGAAAGCUAGGGGAGCAAACGGG
rnacentral:rRNA from 1 species